rnacentral:rRNA from 1 species
UACGUAUGGGGCAAGCGUUAUCCGGAUUUACUGGGUGUAAAGGGAGCGCAGGCGGCCUGGCAAGCCUGAUGUGAAAUACCGGGGCCCAACCCCCGGGGCUGCAUUGGGAACUGCCAGGCUGGAGUGCCGGAGAGGCAGGCGGAAUUCCUAGUGUAGCGGUGAAAUGCGUAGAUAUUAGGAGGAACACCAGUGGCGAAGGCGGCCUGCUGGACGGUGACUGACGCUGAGGCUCGAAAGCGUGGGGAGCAAACAGG